rnacentral:rRNA from 1 species
UGGGGAAUAUUGCACAAUGGGCGCAAGCCUGAUGCAGCCAUGCCGCGUGUGUGAAGAAGGCCUUCGGGUUGUAAAGCACUUUCAGCGAGGAGGAAGGUGGUGAGCUUAAUACGCUCAUCAAUUGACGUUACUCGCAGAAGAAGCACCGGCUAACUCCGUGCCAGCAGCCGCGGUAAUACGGAGGGUGCAAGCGUUAAUCGGAAUUACUGGGCGUAAAGCGCACGCAGGCGGUUUGUUAAGUCAGAUGUGAAAUCCCCGGGCUCAACCUGGGAACUGCAUUUGAAACUGGCAAGCUAGAGUCUCGUAGAGGGGGGUAGAAUUCCAGGUGUAGCGGUGAAAUGCGUAGAGAUCUGGAGGAAUACCGGUGGCGAAGGCGGCCCCCUGGACGAAGACUGACGCUCAGGUGCGAAAGCGUGGGGCAGCAAACAGGAUUAGAUACCCCUGGUAGUCCACGCUGUAAACGAUGUCGAUUUUGGAGGUUGUGCCCUUGAGGCGUGGCUUCCGGAGCUAACGCGUUAAAUCGACCGCCUGGGGAGUACGGCCGCAAGGUUAAAACUCAAAUGAAUUGACGGGGUC